rnacentral:rRNA from 1 species
CAAGUCGAACGGCAGCGAGGAGAAGCUUGCUUCUCUGUCGGCGAGUGGCGAACGGGUGAGUAUAGCAUCGGAACGUGCCAAGUAGUGGGGGAUAACCAAACGAAAGUUUGGCUAAUACCGCGUAAGCUCCAAGGAGGAAAGUAGGGGACCUAAAUAAGGCCUUACGCUAUUUGAUCGGCCGAUGUCGGAUUAGCUAGUUGGUGGGGUAAUGGCUCACCAAGGCAAUGAUCCGUAGCGGGUCUGAGAGGACGAUCCGCCACACUGGGACUGAGACACGGCCCAGACUCCUACGGGAGGCAGCAGUGGGGAAUUUUGGACAAUGGGGGAAACCCUGAUCCAGCCAUGCCGCGUGUAUGAAGAAGGCCUUAGGGUUGUAAAGUACUUUUGUUAGGGAAGAAAAGCUAGUUUUUAAUAAAAAUUAGUGAUGACGGUACCUAAAGAAUAAGCACCGGCUAACUACGUGCCAGCAGCCGCGGUAAUACGUAGGGUGCAAGCGUUAAUCGGAAUUAUUGGGCGUAAAGCGAGUGCAGACGGUUACUUAAGCCAGAUGUGAAAUCCCCAAGCUUAACUUGGGACGUGCAUUUGGAACUGGGUGACUAGAGUGUGUCAGAGGGAGGUAGAAUUCCACAUGUAGCGGUGGAAUGCGUAGAGAUGUGGAGGAAUACCGAUGGCGAAGGCAGCCUCCUGGGAUAACACUGACGUUGAGGCUCGAAAGCGUGGGGAG